AUUGAACGCUGGCGGCAUGCUUUACACAUGCAAGUCGAACGGUAACAGGCCGCAAGGUGCUGACGAGUGGCGAACGGGUGAGUAAUGCAUCGGAACGUGCCCAGUCGUGGGGGAUAACGCAGCGAAAGCUGUGCUAAUACCGCAUACGAUCUAUGGAUGAAAGCGGGGGACCGUAAGGCCUCGCGCGAUUGGAGCGGCCGAUGUCAGAUUAGGUAGUUGGUGGGGUAAAGGCUCACCAAGCCAACGAUCUGUAGCUGGUCUGAGAGGACGACCAGCAACAGUGGGACUGAGACACGGCCCAGACUCCGACGGGAGGCAGCAGUGGGGAAUUUUGGACAAUGGGCGCAAGCCUGAUCCAGCAAUGCCGCGUGCAGGAAGAAGGCCUUGGGGUUGUAAACUGCUUUUGUACGGAACGAAAAGGUUUGGGUUAAUACCCUGGGCCGAUGACGGUACCGUAAGAAUAAGCACCGGCUAACUACGUGCCAGCCGCCGCCGUAAAAC
rnacentral:rRNA from 1 species